AUUGAACGCUGGCGGCAUGCCUAACACAUGCAAGUCGAACGGCAGCACAGUGUGUAGCAAUACACAUGGGUGGCGAGUGGCGGACGGGUGAGUAAUGCUUAGGAAUCUGCCCAGUAGCGGGGGAUAGCCCGGCGAAAGCCGGAUUAAUACCGCAUACGCCCUACGGGGGAAAGCGGGGGACCUUCGGGCCUCGCACUAUUGGAUGAGCCUAAGUCUGAUUAGCUAGUUGGCAGGGUAACGGCCUACCAAGGCAACGAUCAGUAGCUGGUCUGAGAGGACGACCAGCCACACUGGGACUGAGACAAGGCCCAGACUCCUACGGGAGGCAGCAGUGGGGAAUAUUGGACAAUGGGGGAAACCCUGAUCCAGCGAUGCCGCGUGUGUGAAGAAGGCCUGCGGGUUGUAAAGCACUUUCAGUAGGGAAGAAAUCCUGAGGAAUAAUAUACCUCAGGCUUGACGUUACUUACAGAAGAAGCACCGGCUAACUCCGUGCCAGCCGCCGCUGUAACAC
rnacentral:rRNA from 1 species